GAGUUUGAUCCUGGCUCAGAUUGAACGCUGGCGGCAGGCCUAACACAUGCAAGUCGAGCGGUAGAGAGAAGCUUGCUUCUCUUGAGAGCGGCGGACGGGUGAGUAAUGCCUAGGAAUCUGCCUGGUAGUGGGGGAUAACGCUCGGAAACGGACGCUAAUACCGCAUACGUCCUACGGGAGAAAGCAGGGGACCUUCGGGCCUUGCGCUAUCAGAUGAGCCUAGGUCGGAUUAGCUAGUUGGUGAGGUAAUGGCUCACCAAGGCGACGAUCCGUAACUGGUCUGAGAGGAUGAUCAGUCACACUGGAACUGAGACACGGUCCAGACUCCUACGGGAGGCAGCAGUGGGGAAUAUUGGACAAUGGGCGAAAGCCUGAUCCAGCCAUGCCGCGUGUGUGAAGAAGGUCUUCGGAUUGUAAAGCACUUUAAGUUGGAGGAAGGGCAGUAAAUUAAUACUUUGCUGUUUUGACGUUACCGACAGAAUGAGCACCGGCUAACUCUGUGCCAG
rnacentral:rRNA from 1 species